UUUUCUUAGAAGGGCGGAAACAGCAAGUCACCCGCACUUCCCGGAUAACAAUAAAAAUGACGUCACUCAGCUCGUGUAUGCCUUCCUGUGAGUGGAGGAGGCAGCCUGUGUUUAGGCCUCAUUGAGUUAAGUGGCCAGCCUUCCUCCCUCACGGUGUGCUUAACAAAUAAAUACCGAGCAGUUAAUGGGGAAUAUAAGUCCUGGCAGGUUAAUCUACGCAUACUUAUUGUUCCUCAUGAUAAGUUGUCAGUAGCGAAGAGUAUUUAAUGAAGUGAUGAGGGUGUCAGACCUUCAUGAACCACGGCCUUCGCGACUCCCUGCCUCCCUCCUUCCCUUCCUGCCUGCCAUGUCUUGCCGCUCCUGAACCUCGUCCCGCCUCCCUCACGCUGGUGCUGGCGUCCCCACAGGUGCAAUGACCAAACCCCUGAGACACACCUCCAGCAGCCCCGCCAGACAUCCAUUUCCUCUGCCUCAGCGAUCCGGGGAAAUAAAAGACUGACAGUAGUUUUCUCUAGGAACAGUCAUGGGGAAAAAUGAGGCAAAUCUGAAAGCCAUUCCAAGCUGCCUUCAGAUACAGGUGGGCUGAGUGAAACACCAGGAAACACUACAACAAUCGGCAGGGAAAGUACAAAGACUAAUGGGGAGGCGUCCACACAGCAGCGUCAUCCAGGCGGGCCGGAUGUGAGGGCGAGUGAGCACACCUGCCUGCCACAGUACUACCUGCCUGCCUGCCCCUUCCCUUUCCCCUCACACCUGCCCCGCCCAUCCCACCCACGGCCACGCCCACAUUAUUACUAAACCGCACUACGCAUCUCCCAGGUAACUAUAAGUUUGAAGGUAGCACAGUAUUAUUUACUUGUACUGCGUGGCAUUCCACUGGGAAAGAAGGAUUUAACAUGUAGGUGCGAGGCGUUUUGGAAUGAAAUAUACAAGAACAAUCGUUUUAGACUUUUUCACUUUUCUUGUUUACUUUUAACAACUUUGGAUUCUGUUAUGUUUUAAUGUUUCACUUUUCUCCUUCAUGGUAUUUUGUUAGUUGUUCGUAAUUAUUCUCUUAUAACUUCUUUACUGUUACUUUUCAUUAUAUCUGUUUUCCACAUAACGUUGAGGUAGCAGCCCAGCCUUGGCUGCGCACCUCAGGGGUGGUGCAGUACUGGUAAAUUGCCUAGUACUGUACAUACGCCAAGUCUGAGUGGUGGGGUGUGGCGCCACGCAGCGUCCGAAAGACCCACUCGGUCAACAGCCAGCGGCAAGGUUAGUGAAAUCUCUAUUAUUUAUUAUUUCACAUGGUAAGGGAAGCGACCCGGUGCUGUACUCCGCGACGACCAGGCGGGAGGAACACCGACAGAGGCACCGAGUGAGGGAUCCAGGAACACACUAAUGUGUACUUUUAUGAUUAUUUAUGACGCAGUGUUGCAAGGAGUUAUCACUGCCGCACUGGUUUGCUGCCAUUACUCCUCACUAUGAAGUUCAGCACUCUGCUUCCUUCUGAAACUCGCCAAAGAUGAUUGCCUUGUUAACUCCCGACGCAGCAAACUGUCAUCCACUGCUGAGUGCUGUCUGUGCGGGAAGAUAUUUUCCUGAAACCUCAAAAAGAUAUUGCUCGAUUUUUUUUCUUUCGA